GACAGAGGGUGCAAACGUUGCUCGGAAUUACUGGGCGUAAAGCGCGUGUAGGCGGUUCCGCAAGUCAGGUGUGAAAGCCCAGGGCUCAACCCUGGAAGUGCACUUGAUACUACGGAGCUUGAGUACUGAAGAGGAGAGCGGAAUUCCCGGUGUAGAGGUGAAAUUCGUAGAUAUUGGGUGGAACACCGGUGGCGAAAGCGGCUCUCUGGUCCGGACCUGACGCUGAGGCGCGAAAGCGUGGGGAGCAAACAGGG
rnacentral:rRNA from 1 species